rnacentral:misc_RNA from 1 species
GUGAAUCAUCAAAUUUUUGAACGCAAAUUGCACUCUCUGGUAUUCCGGAGAGUAUACCUGUUUGAGAGUCAGUUUAAAUAAAGAUGGGUGGGGUUACUGCCUUUCGUGGUGACGCAGCGGAUAUGGGUCGUCUUGCGGGCGGUUAAGUGACCUAGAAAUGUGCAUGAUUUUUUUCGAACGUAUAUAAAUGAAUUUAUGUACGUUGGCGUUAUCGAAUACUAGAGUAGGUCAUCCUCAUGAAUGGCGCC